rnacentral:tRNA from 1 species
UGGCUAUUAGCUUAACGGCAAAGCGGCUCCCUGUUAAGGAGUAAGAUACAGGUUCGAAUCCUGUAUAGCCAG